CCUAAGCUGCUGAUGUUACCAGA
rnacentral:snRNA from 1 species